rnacentral:rRNA from 1 species
CAGCAGCCACGGUAAUACGUAGGGCGCAAGCGUUAUCCGGAAUUAUUGGGCGUAAAGAGCUCGUAGGCGGUUUGUCGCGUCUGCCGUGAAAGUCCGGGGCUCAACCCCGGAUCUGCGGUGGGUACGGGCAGACUAGAGUGAUGUAGGGGAGACUGGAAUUCCUGGUGUAGCGGUGAAAUGCGCAGAUAUCAGGAGGAACACCGAUGGCGAAGGCAGGUCUCUGGGCAUUAACUGACGCUGAGGAGCGAAAGCAUGGGGAGCGAACAGGAUUAGAUACCCCUGUAGUCCCUGUCUCUUAUAC